ACAGGGAUGUCCCUGCUCCAGGGCUGUGAUCAGGACAGGGAUGUCCCUGCUCCAGCCCCUCUCUGGCCCUGGUGGACUCUCCCAUCCCACUGCUGCCCUCGGAGGCAGGGAGGUGACUCCUCUGCCAGGCUCUGCAGGAGAUCCAGGAGCAGUGGGGCUCUACAGACUCCCGGUGCUGCUGAGCCCAUCCUUGUUCCCUCUGGCAGCCAAUUCCUCACCCCAGGUUUUGGGGGUGCAGCUCCCCCAGAGCUGGCUCUUGCCUCUUGCCUGUUCCUCACAGGCAGCUCCUGCUCCUUCCCAGCCUCCCACAGCCAUGGGCACACUGUGCUGUGUCCUGCUCUGCAGCUUUGGCUCCAUCCUCCAUCCUUUCCCCAUGGAUGAGCUCAGAGCCAGUCCUGGCCCAGGGCUGCCAUCACCUCCCCAGGCACCAGAGGUUUGGUUGGGUUGUACAGAACGAUUGUAACCUGUAACUUUUUGUAAUUGUUUUUAAUAAAAGAGUGUUGACUAGAUGCA
rnacentral:lncRNA from 1 species